rnacentral:rRNA from 1 species
AUGACGCUGGCGGCAUGCCUUACACAUGCAAGUCGAACGGCAGCACGGGGGCAAUCCUGGUGGCGAGUGGCGAACGGGUGAGUAAUACAUCGGAACGUGCCCUGUAGUGGGGGAUAACUAGUCGAAAGACUAGCUAAUACCGCAUACGACCUGAGGGUGAAAGUGGGGGACCGCAAGGCCUCAUGCUAUAGGAGCGGCCGAUGUCUGAUUAGCUAGUUGGUGGGGUAAAGGCCUACCAAGGCGACGAUCAGUAGCUGGUCUGAGAGGACGAUCAGCCACACUGGGACUGAGACACGGCCCAGACUCCUACGGGAGGCAGCAGUGGGGAAUUUUGGACAAUGGGGGCAACCCUGAUCCAGCAAUGCCGCGUGUGUGAAGAAGGCCUUCGGGUUGUAAAGCACUUUUGUCCGGGAAGAAAUCGCACCUGAUAAUACCGGGUGUGGAUGACGGUACCGGAAGAAUAAGGACCGGCUAACUACGUGCCAGCACCCGCGGUAAUACGUAGGGUCCAAGCGUUAAUCGGAAUUACUGGGCGUAAAGCGUGCGCAGGCGGUUGUGCAAGACCGAUGUGAAAUCCCCGGGCUUACCUGGGAAUUGCAUUGGUGACUGCACGGCUAGAGUGUGUCAGAGGGGGGUAGAAUUCCACGUGUAGCAGUGAAAUGCGUAGAGAUGUGGAGGAAUACCGAUGGCGAAGCAGCCCCUGGGAUACACUGACGCUCAUGCACGAAAGCGUGAGAGCAACAGGAUUAGAUACCCUGGUAGUCCACGCCCUAAACGAUGUCAACUAGUGUGGGAUUCAUUUCCUUAGUAACGUAGCUAACGCGUGAAGUUGACCGCCUGGGGAGUACGGUCGCAAGAUUAAAACUCAAAGGAAUUGACGGGGACCCGCACAAGCGGUGGAUGAUGUGGAUUAAUUCGAUGCAACGCGAAAAACCUUACCUACCCUUGACAUGCCACUAACGAAGCAGAGAUGCAUUAGGUGCUCGAAAGAGAAAGUGGACACAGGUGCUGCAUGGCUGUCGUCAGCUCGUGUCGUGAGAUGUUGGGUUAAGUCCCGCAACGAGCGCAACCCUUGUCUCUAGUUGCUACGAAAGGGCACUCUAGAGAGACUGCCGGUGACAAACCGGAGGAAGGUGGGGAUGACGUCAAGUCCUCAUGGCCCUUAUGGGUAGGGCUUCACACGUCAUACAAUGGUGCAUACAGAGGGUUGCCAAGCCGCGAGGUGGAGCCAAUCCCAGAAAAUGCAUCGUAGUCCGGAUCGUAGUCUGCAACUCGACUACGUGAAGCUGGAAUCGCUAGUAAUCGCGGAUCAGCAUGCCGCGGUGAAUACGUUCCCGGGUCUUGUACACACCGCCCGUCACACCAUGGGAGUGGGUUUUGCCAG